GAAGAGAUGGCUGAGUGGUUGAAAGCGAUAGACUGUAAAUCUAUUUACACACGUAAUCGCAGGUUCGAAUCCUGCUCUCUUCC
rnacentral:tRNA from 1 species